GUAAGAUGUAAUGAUGAGUACAUAGUUCAACUGAUAAUUCUGUGAGUUAUUAACAAAAAAAUAGUCUUUCUACCCCUAUCUGACAAUUUUU
rfam:Cerapachys biroi unplaced genomic scaffold scaffold129, whole genome shotgun sequence.